UACGAAGGGUGCAAGCGUUACUCGGAAUUACCGGGCGUAAAGCGUGCGUAGGUGGUUCGUUAAGUCUGUCGUGAAAGCCCCGGGCUCAACCUGGGAAUGGCGAUGGAUACUGGCGGGCUAGAGUGCGGUAGAGGAGAGUGGAAUUCCCGGUGUAGCAGUGAAAUGCGUAGAGAUCGGGAGGAACACCGAUGGCGAAGGCAGGUCUCUGGGCCGAUACUGACGCUGAGGAGCGAAAGCGUGGGGAGCAAACAGG
rnacentral:rRNA from 1 species